AUUGAACGCUGGCAGCAUGCCUUACACAUGCAAGUCGAACGGUAACAGGUCUUCGGAUGCUGACGAGUGGCGAACGGGUGAGUAAUACAUCGGAACGUGCCUAGUAGUGGGGGAUAACUACUCGAAAGAGUGGCUAAUACCGCAUGAGAUCUACGGAUGAAAGCAGGGGAUCGCAAGACCUUGUGCUACUAGAGCGGCCGAUGGCAGAUUAGGUAGUUGGUGGGAUAAAAGCUUACCAAGCCGACGAUCUGUAGCUGGUCUGAGAGGACGAUCAGCCACACUGGGACUGAGACACGGCCCAGACUCCGACGGGAGGCAGCAGUGGGGAAUUUUGGACAAUGGGUGCAAGCCUGAUCCAGCAAUGCCGCGUGCAGGAUGAAGGCCUUCGGGUUGUAAACUGCUUUUGUACGGAACGAAAAGCCCUGGGUUAAUACCCUGGGGUCAUGACGGUACCGUAAGAAUAAGCACCGGCUAACUACGUGCCAGCCGCCGCCGUAA
rnacentral:rRNA from 1 species